GGCCGCGGGAAUUCGAUUAGAGUUUGAUCCUGGCUCAGGAUGAACGCUGGCGGUGCGCCUAACACAUGCAAGUCGAACGAACCUUGUAAACUUGAAGCUUCGGUGGAUUGUUUGCGCUGGUUAGUGGCAGACGGGUGAGUAAUGCAAGGGUAAUUUGCCUCUAAGUCUGGGAUAACAUUCCGAAAGGAAUGCUAAUACCGGAUAUUCUUUUUCAAUCGCAUGAUUGAAAAAGGAAAGCUCCGGCGCUUAGAGAGAAGCCCUUGUCUGAUUAGUUUGUUGGUGGGGUAACGGCCUACCAAGACUACGAUCAGUAACUGGUCUGAGAGGAUGAUCAGUCACACUGGAACUGAGACACGGUCCAGACUCCUACGGGAGGCAGCAGUGGGGAAUAUUGCGCAAUGGGCGAAAGCCUGACGCAGCGACACCGCGUGAGUGAAGAAGUCUUUCGGGAUGUAAAACUCUGUCAAGAGGGACGAUUAUGACGGUACCUCUAAAGGAAGCCCCGGCUAAUUACGUGCCAGCAGCCGCGGUAAUACGUAAGGGGCAAGCGUUAUCCGGAUUUAUUGGGCAUAAAGGGCGCGUAGGUGGUCUUUUAAGUAAGUUGUUAAAAGCAUCGGCUCAACCGAUGUUCGCAUCUUAAACUGGAAGACUAGAGGACAGUAGAGGAAAGCGGAACUCAUAGUGUAGCGGUGAAAUGCGUAGAUAUUAUGAGGAACACCAGUUGCGAAGGCGGCUUUCUGGCCUGAUCCUGACACUGAGGCGCGAAAGCGUGGGGAGCGAACGGGAUUAGAUACCCCGGUAGUCCACGCCGUAAACGGUGUACACUAAGUGUAGGAGGUAUCGACCCCUUCUGUGCUACAGAUAAUUCGUUAAGUGUACCGCCUGGGAAGUACGACCGCAAGGUUAAAACUCAAAGGAAUUGACGGGGGCCCGCACAAGCAGUGGAGCAUGUGGUUUAAUUCGACGAUACGCGAAGAACCUUACCAGGGCUUGACAUCCUCAGAACCCUCUAGAGAUAGAGGGGUGCCUUCGGGAACUGAGUGACAGGUGGUGCAUGGCUGUCGUCGGCUCGUGUCGUGAGAUGUUGGGUUAAGUCCCGCAACGAGCGCAACCCCCGUUAUGUGUUGCCAGCACGUCAAGGUGGGAACUCACAUAAGACUGCCCGUGGAAAGCGGGAGGAAGGUGGGGACGACGUCAAGUCAUCAUGCCCCUUACGCCCUGGGCUACACACAUGCUACAAUGGCCGGUACAAUGGGUUGCGAAGCCGCGAGGUGGAGCUAAUCUCAAAAAACCGGUCCCAGUUCGGAUUGUAGUCUGCAACUCGACUACAUGAAGUCGGAAUUGCUAGUAAACGCAGAUCAGCUACGCUGCGUUGAAUACGUUCCCGGGCCUUGUACACACCGCCCGUCACACCAUGAGAGUUGGAAACGCCCAAAGUCAGUGUGCUAACUUCGGAAGCAGCUGCCUAAGGUGGAGCCAGCGAUUGGGGUGAAGUCGUAACAAGGUAACCA
rnacentral:rRNA from 1 species